CCUCCACCACGGCCCCAAAGGUCUUCCCGCUGUCCCCCCGCUGUGGGGCCACGUCCGGCUCCACAUUGUCCCUGGGCUGCCUGGUCUCCGGCUACUUCCCCGAGCCGGUGACUGUGUCCUGGAACUCGGGCGCCCUGACCAGCGGCGUGCACACCUUCCCGUCCGUCCUGCAGUCCUCAGGGCUCUACUCUCUGAGCAGCAUGGUGACAGUGCCCUCCAGCAGCGCGUCCAGUCAGACGUACACCUGCAACGUAGCCCACCCGGCCAGCAGCACCAAAGUGAACAAGAACGUGCCCAUUGAAAAUGACAAACCUCAACCAACUUGCGAGAAAUGCCCAACAUGCCCACCUGCUGACCCUCCGGGAGCACCUUCUGUCUUCAUCUUUCCCCCACAACCCAAGGACGUCCUCAUGAUCACCUUGACUCCAAAAGUCACGUGCGUGGUGUUGGACGUGGCUUCAGAUGACCUCGAUGUAGAGUUCACCUGGUACAUGGAUGACAAACUGCAGAAAACGUUAAAGAAGAAGGCGAAGGUGUUGCAGUUCAACAGCACCUACAGAGUGGAAGAUGAAUUCCCCAUCGUGCACCAGGACUGGCUGAAGGGCAAGGUGUUCAAGUGCAAGGUCAAGAGCAACUCUGUCCCAGCCCCCAUCGAGAGGACCAUCCACAAGCCCAAAGGAGAACCCAGGAUGCCACAGGUGUACACCCUGGCCCCACACCCGGACGAGCUGGCCAAGAACACCAUCAGUGUGACCUGCCUGGUCAAAGACUUCUACCCGCCAGACAUCAAUGUGGAGUGGAAGCAAAAUGAGCAGCCAGAGCCGGAGUCCAAGUACAUCACGACCCCGCCGCUGAAGGACAAGGACGGGUCCUUCUUCGUGUACAGCAAGCUCUCCGUGGACAAAUCCAGGUGGCAACAGGGACAGGUCUUCGCGUGUGCGGUGAUGCACGAGGCUCUGCACAAUCACUACACCCAGAAGACCAUCUCCCAGACUUCGGGUAAAUGAGCAGCGUGCCCGGACCUAGCAACCCCCACCCCAUGUACACACCCCAGGCUCAGCAUUAAAUAAAGCACCCAGCGCUGCCCUGGGACC